AUGGGGUACUGGGUUCUUCCCUGCUCCCUCCCACCCAGCCUCCUUACACACACACACACACACACACACACACACACCCCCCCCCACCCUGCUUCCAACCACUCUUUGCCCUGUUUAAGUUUAGCCCAGCCCUGUUCAUUCCUCCACACCCUCUGCCCGGAUCCUCCCUGUGGACCUGACCAUGCUAGCCCCUCCCCAUCCUUUACAAAUACUCCUGAGGACAGCCAGCACCUUAGAUCGCCUAUUGCCCCCUGUUCUGCACUCCCAGGUGUUCCUUUUGUCAUUCCCUGUGCCUGCUCCAAAAAGAUGGAGCCACGUAAGUACUAUGGUGGGAGGCCGUAGCGUGGAAGAAGGAAUAAGAAGGAAGGGAGGGUCAUGAAGUCAGGGGCAAUCAGUCAGUCACAUCUACUGCAAGCCGUGUGUGUGUGUGGUGGUAGGGUUCCAAAAUGAAAACAAGCCCUAUGUUUUUAAUACACUCUACAGUUUAAGACACAUGCCUACACAUCCUUCAUGUCACUAGGUCUUCAACUUCAGGAAUGAAACAAACAGGGGCUCCCUCCAUUGUACAUGUGAGCUCCAGGGAAGUUAUCGGUCUUUCUCAGGGUGAGGCCCUGGAGGUGUGGCAGGAUCUGGGGCUCAGAACUCACCUCUCAGCAGCUAUGACAUUGGCUCCCCUCAAAAGGAACAAAAGACCAUGAUGGCCCUCAAUAUAAAUCUCAUCAAGUAGGUGAUUCCCACCAACAGAGCACUACAAAAUACUCAGGACCAGUCAGAUAGGUUAUGGCAAGAAUGAGCCCACUGGACCCGAAGCUGGGCAGGCAAGGCAGGCAGGAUGGUCCAACCCAAGCGAACUUCCUCCAGGAAUGUAACACAGAGUGAAGCAAGAAAGAUUUCCAAGUGGCAGGAGACAAGAGCAAAGUCUGAGAGCUGGAACCAGAAGGUUAUAAUCAGGAGCAAAGAAACAGCUGAGGAUCUGAGCAGAGAUCAGCCUGAGAAAAGUGGAAUCUGGGGGGAGGGAGCAGAGGAGGAGGCUAUGUGGGGCCCACCUGAAGAUGUAAAUAAAAGAACCAGGGCUCCUCCUUUAGCGUCA
rnacentral:lncRNA from 1 species